ACAAAAAGUUUAAUGAACUAGAUUUGCAUUAUUCAGUUCAAUUAAAUGUAAUUAUUUUAAAUCAACAACUCUAAAACCGAUGCCUAGUGCGCAUGCUCAAACUUCCCAGAAGUGAAGAGGCGGGAACGCGGAGAAAGUUAUAUGUGUUCAGUGAACUGCCGUUUCCCUCUGCGGAUUCUUCCACAAUACAGUAACACCACAAAGAAAGCUGCCCCCUUUUCCUGAUUGUUUGUGCCUCCUCUUUAAUACAUGUGACUUGUAUGUGGCAGUGCAAGCGUCGUUCCAUCAGGGAGAGUAGUAGAUUGACAAGGAGUUUCUGCGAAUCACCACAAAGCCUGUGCUAUCCACUUUCUUUGCCGAGCUUGACCAAUACGCGCCACACUUAAUAGAAAUCUUUCUGAGCAAAGGAGGGACACCUGGAAAGAAAAUAAGAGGUCUCAUGCUUGCCAUCUCCAAGCAUGACAACAUCCAUACCAGACGAGCAUGCAUCUUGAAGUCCUUGUGCAUCUAUCUAAACGAAGGCUAUGAGAAGUUAAUAAAGGAGUACUUGGAUACGGACAGCGAGGCAAAAAGCUGCAUGGAGCAAACUGUGAUGGGGGUGUACGUCAUCCAGAAGGAGGGGUGCUGAACCUGAAGAUGACCCAGAGGACAUUGGUGUCGUGAUUGAGGGUGUGGAGGCUCUCACUGAUUUGGGUAACAUUGCACAAGCAUGUGCUCUGUUGUUUGGACUCAUAUACUGUUUGAACCUGAGCUACCCACCAGAACUUAAAUGCACCUUUGAAGUCCUCCAGAAGAUAAUUUUAAAUCUUGAUGGAUAAAAGCUCUCUUCAAAGGCACAGUUUCUGAAAAACAAGCUUAUGGGGUGAGAGCACUUGAAAAUGACUGAUAGGUCUUGAAUGGUUCAUUGGUGCAAUGGUGAUUUCCAAUAUAUAAUGUUAACAUUUGAGUUUAUAUUUUUUUUUCUUUCAUUUAAAAAAUAUUUUUUUUUUAAGUUUUUGGAUUCUCUCUGUUGGGCAAUUCACCUUUUAUACAGCACUGCAGAUGAUUUUUGUUUGUCUUUAUAUAGAUGGCUCAAAAUGGAUCAGAAGUACUGUUCUGUUAAUUAUUUUUCAUUUAAUUUCAAGUUUGUAGUAUAGGUACUAAUUCACACAUACCAUAAUGCUGUCAUGUGUUGAAUGAAGAUAUCAUUGGAGUGCUUUAGUGCCCCCCUCUUUUUUUCCCCCUUUGUAGAACAAAGUCAACAUUUUACAGAAACUGCAUUGAGGGGUUUUCCCCAAGAAAUGUUCAUUGUUGUUUUUAGCUGCACUGUUACUAUGUUUAUGUGUCAAGGGCCUGUAAAGUUUAAGACCACUGCCACCUGUUAAGUUCACUGUAUUAUUUUAAUGUGUCAAUUUUGCUUGCUAGUAUGUUUUUAAAACACAGCAAAACUAUAUUGCUAGCUGUGGAGAACUGCAACCAAAAUUAAAAAAUAAAUACAGAAAUAUAAAAAUUGGUCAAACUAAUAAUUAUUACAAUGAGAUACACCAAACAAAUGUAGUUUUUCAUUUCAAGUAAUUAAUUGUAUUUGAAAAAAAUUGUCAUGUCAUCUAAUUUGAUAAGCCUUCUGUUUCUAUUUUAGUUUUACUUCCUAAAUUUUUUCCAAAUUCACACAAUAGUAAUUCUAUUUUGUCAAAUGUUUUAACUUGCCAAGUGGGAGUGUAUUUUUAUCUUUUAGUUUAAUUUUUUAAAAUACAGUUAAUAUAUUGAGCAAAUUUUGCAUCUGUUUUUAGUUGUGGAAGCUUUGGUUCCAACAUAUUACCUAUAUAAGUAUUCUAACGUUUUACCUUUUGAAGUGGCAUAAUGCUUGGUGUACAAAAUGGUAAGCUUUUAUAUUGUCCACUAAAUGCAGUUAAUAAAGUUAAUGUUAUCAUAAUCUGAUUGUGACUUUUUUGUAAAGUAGUGGGUUUCUAAAUGUGUAACAAAUGAAAACAAAUCUAAUUGAAAUAAUUCGAUUGAAAUGAGUGAAAUCAUCAGCCCCAUAUUGGUUUAUUAAGCAAGACUUGCAGUAAUUGCCUUGAUUAACAAAGUAGUUGUUCAAACAACAAGAUUUAAUUGUGUUUUCCAAAAGUUUUUAACCUGUGUAGAAUGAAUUAAAACACAUUUCACUCUAUAUACUUAAAUAAAUCACUUCAAACCAAUGCAAGUAUACCAUGUUGAUCCAACGUAAUCGGAUUACAUUAAACCACCAAAUGCCAAAUGUGUUGGUUUGACAUGAUCGAAAAUGGUUUAUUGUACUUGGUUGAAUUGUGUGCAAAUUGGGUGCCAUGAUUAAAUUGUGUUCAUCCAACAUCA